rnacentral:rRNA from 1 species
UGGGGAAUUUUGCGCAAUGGGCGAAAGCCUGACGCAGCAACGCCGCGUGAGUGAUGAAGGCCUUCGGGUCGUAAAGCUCUGUCAGAGGGGAAGAACCUCCUGAGGGAUAAUAACCCUCAGGCCUGACGGUACCCUCAAAGGAAGCACCGGCUAACUCCGUGCCAGCAGCCGCGGUAAUACGGAGGGUGCAAGCGUUGUUCGGAAUUAUUGGGCGUAAAGCGCGUGCAGGCGGUUGCUUAAGUCUGAUGUGAAAGCCCUGGGCUCAACCCGGGAAGUGCAUUGGAAACUGGGCAACUUGAGUACGGGAGAGGAUAGUGGAAUUCCGAGUGUAGGGGUGAAAUCCGUAGAUAUUCGGAGGAACACCGGUGGCGAAGGCGGCUAUCUGGACCGAUACUGACGCUGAGACGCGAAAGCGUGGGGAGCAAACAGG